UAUAACUCAAAUACAAAGUAAAAAGGAUGUAAACAAGAUAAUAACCAACUACCAACAUCUACGGACACAUGUCCGGAUCACUGUACAACAAGGGUAAACCCGGGAUCGCUAUAAUCUUCUUCCUUGAAGAUUGUUCCUUAGGCUUCAUACUGUUCUUGGUACAUCUGUUAUAGCAAAGCAAAGCUAAAAAAAAAAAAAUAAAAAAAAAUAAAAAAAAAAUUACAAUAUGCUCCAAAAUUAAUGGGUAAUCACCCUAUAAUCUCAUUUUGAUUGUUUGGUCAUUAUUGAUUGAGUUUUCUAAUUUUUUUGAUUUUUCGUCAAAAUUGGGUGAUUUUUCGAAAACCACUGUUUGAUCAUAUUUUUUCUGGUUCUGUCCCUUAUUCUCCUAUCCUUGGGAGCUGACUGGAACCCUAGAGGGUUUAUUGUCCUUGGUUUGAUGUAUUUUGGCCCUAUCUUGGUUUUUUUAUCGCUGUUCAGAUGCUCUGUUUCGAUUUUCUGGCUUGUAGUUGAUCUGGUUGCUCUAUUUUGGAUUUCUCUUGGACUGUUUUAGCCUUAGAAGGUGUUUUUGGUGUGCUGGUUGGGUGAUUUCUGGACUUGUUUGAUAUCCAGCUUGUGUUUUUUGCACCAUCUUUUCUCAUCUCAUGGCUGACAACUUGGGUCAGUACUCUAAGGGUAAGGAGGAGAGUGGACUGAGUCGUGGUCUUACUCUUGGUGAUAGUCCUUCUCUCCAGAUUAGUCCGGUCAAACUUAAUGGUUUUAAUUACUUGAUUUGGUCCCGCUCCUGUAGUCUUGCCAUUGUUGCCAGGCGUUUGACUGGCUAUAAUACUGGGAGUACCGAGCCACCUACUGAGGAUAGUGCUUUAUCUGCUCAAUGAAUUUCUGAGAAUGCUUUAGUUAUGACCUGGCUCAUCAAUUCUAUGGAGCCUAUCAUUAGUCGGACUUUUCUCUUGAUGGAUAUUGCUCACAAGAUCUGGAUAGCAGCCUCUUAGAUGUAUUCUCAACAAGGGAAUGAUGCACAGGCCUAUGAAUUGCGUAAGAAGAUUAGGGGUUUGGAUCAAAAGGAUCGCUCUCUGGCAGUCUACUAUGCUGAGUUGAGUGGUUUGUGGCAAGAGCUAGAUUUUUACUAGAGUUUCCAACCAGUUUGCUCUAAAGAUGCCACUAUGUUUCAGCAGGCUGUGGAGAAGGAGCGGGUGUAUGAUUUUCUUGCUGGUUUGAAUUUGGAGUAUUAUCAAAUACGGGUUCAGGUGUUGGGUUGCGCUCCGUUUCCUACAUUGCGUGAGGCUUAUGCCUUGGUUUAGUAGGAGGAGAGUCGUCGUAGUGCUAUGGUGCAUGCUCCUGUUCCGGAUCGGUCAACGAUGGUUGUCGGCCCCAAGUCACGUGAUACUCCGCCUUUUUAGCCUCCAGGUGGUGGUAAGGGUCCAUUAGUUCGUGAUUGUCCUAGGAAUAACUUUGUUUGUGAUUCUUGUGAGCUUGCUAAGCAUAAACGUACUUGUUAUCCUUCAAUUAAUAAAAGAAGUACUUUUCCUUUUAUGCUUAUUCAUACCGAUGUGUGGGGUCCUUUCCCUGUUGUUUCUACCUCUGGUUAUCGUUGGUUUGUCACAUUUAUUGAUUGUUAUUCCCGUGUGACUUGGCUUUAUUUACUUCGUACAAAAAAUGAGGUUUUCUCUUACUUCAAAAGUUUUCAUAAAAUGGUAUCCAAUCUUUUCAAUGCUACUAUCAAAAUUCUUAGGAGUGAUAAUGAGACUGAGUGUGUUGAUGGCGCUUUCCGGGCAUACCUGGACGAGCAUGGCAUUCUUUAUCAGACUAGUUGUGUUGGCACUCCUGAACAGAAUGGAGUUGCUGAACGUAAGAUUGGCCAUCUCCUUGAGGUUGCUCGCUCUCUCUUGUUUACCAUGAACGUUCCUAAUUCCUUUUGGGGGGAUGUAGUUCUUACCGCGACUUACCUUAUUAACCGUAUGCCAUCUAGUGUCCCUCACUUCCAACUUCCUCUUGAGCUUCUUCCUGUGACUUAUCCCAUUUCUUCCCUUCCGCCUUGGGUUUUUGGUUGUGUCUCAUCUUCACCCUCGUACUCGUGGGAAGCUUGAUCCUAAGGCUGUCCGGUGUGCCUUUCUUGGUUAUUCUGCUACUCAAAAAGGCUACAAAUGCUAUGACCCUCACUCUCAUAAGCUGUAUGUUAGUAUGGAUGUCACCUUCCGUGAAUUCAAGUCAUUCUUUUCUGGUCCUCCGCCAUCCCCUCAGGGGGAGCGUGGUAUCAAUGAGAUUGCGGAUGAGACGGCAUCAUAUCAACAUGAGUUGUCUUUUUUCCUUCCUACUCAGCGGGCUAUUAUUUGUGGUGAGGGGGAGCCUAGAAGUUCUGUUGAUGAGGAGUCGGAUAUCGGUGGUCGUUUGGACAAAGCUGAUCUUAAGACUUAUUCACGGCGUCAGAAAGAGCCGGCUUCUCUUGUGCCACCAAGUCAAUCAUCAUCUCCUAUGCCAGUUCCACACCCAGUGUCCACUAACUCUUCAGGUAAUGAUCCUCAUCUCAUUUCUUCACCUGUUGUUGAUGGUCCUGUUACGGAUGAUUUGAGUCUUCCUAUUGCUCUCAGAAAGGGGGUUAGAGCUUGUACUCAACACCCUAUUUCUAAAUUCGUGUCAUAUGAUUCGUUGCCUUCUCCGUAUUGUGCUUUUGUUUCGUCCCUUUCUUCUGUGUAUUCCGCAGGGUUGGAAAGAAGCCAUCAAUGAUCUUAAGUGGAAGGUAGCUAUGGUAGAAGAGAUGCAAGCUUUGAGUAAAAAUAACAUAUGAGAGUUGAUGUCUCUUCCGAAUGGGAAAAAACCAGUCGGAUGUGAGUGGGUGUUCACCAUUAAACACAAUGCAGAUGGGACGAUUGAACGGUACAAAGCAAGACUAGUGGCCAAGGGAUUUACCCAAACAUAUGGAGUAGAUUAUCAAGAAACUUUUGCCCCGGUAGCAAAGAUGAAUUCCAUUUGGGCUAUUCUGUCAUGUGCGGCUAAUUUGUGAUGGCCUCUACAACAACUAGAUCUGAAGAAUGCUUUUCUUCAUGGGGAUUUGGAGGAGGAGGUAUAUAUGGAUGUACCUCCAGGAUUCUCAUCUCAGUCUACAGUUGGAAAGGUUUGUAGAUUAAAGAAGGCUUUGUACGGUUUGAAACAAUCUCCUAGAACCUGGUUUGGUAGAUUUCUCAAGGCAAUGCUGGGAUUUGGGUAUCAGCAAAGCAAUGCGGAUCACACCUUGUUUGUCAAACGCAAUGUACAUAAGGUAAUAGUGCUUAUUGUAUAUGUGGAUGACAUAGUUGUGACAGGUAAUGAUGAGGAGGAGGUGACCCAUCUCAAGAUGCAGUUAGCCAAGGAGUUUGAGAUAAAAGAACUUGGUCCAUUGCGAUACUUUCUUGGGAUUGAAGUUGCUUGAUCUGAUAAAGGCAUCUUUAUUUCUCAAAGGAAGUACAUUCUAGAUCUUCUUGAGGAAACGGGCAUGUUGGGCUGUAGACCAGCUGAUUCACCAAUUGAGACUAAUCAUCAUCUUUGUAGUGGAAUUGGUGAGCCUGUGGAGAAGGAAAGGUACCAAAGACUUGUGGGAAGACUGAUAUAUCUCUCUCAUACUUGUCCAGAUAUUGCCUAUGCAGUUGGGAUAGUGAGUUAGUUUAUGCAUGAUCCUCGUGCAACUCAUUUGGAUGCAGUCUAUCGUAUUUUGAGGCUCUAUAGAUGACUGACGCUCUAUCUUCGGUUAUUGUGCUUUUGUAGGGGGAAAUUUAGUCACAUGGCGUAGUAAGAAGCAAGCGGUUGUUUCUAGAUGUAGUGCUGAAGCUGAAUACAGGGCUAUGGCACAUGGAACAUGUGAACUAAUGUGGCUUCAAUCUUUGUUGAGUGAUAUAGGGCUUGAUUGGAGUGGUCCCAUGACUUUGUAUUGCGACAACAAGGCUGCUAUUAGUAUAGCACACAAUCUUGUUCAACAUGAUCGGACUAAGCAUAUUGAGAUUGACAGACAUUUCAUUAAGGAGAAAUUGAUUAAGGGUUUGAUAUGUAUGCCUUUUGUUAAGUCUGAAGAUCAACUGGCGGAUGUUUUUAUUAAGGGUCUUAGUAGUAAAGUCUUUCAUCCUAUUUGUUGCAAGUUGAGCAUGAGAAACAUCUUUGCACCAACUUGAGGGGGAGUGUUAAGUGUUAGGGGUAGUUUGGUCUUUAUGUAUUAUUCUUAUUAGUAUAAGUAGUUAUGUGUAAGGGGGAAACCCUAUGCUUUUUGAAUCAAUAUUAUACAGCAGCUUUCUCUCGUUCUAUUUCUUCUUCUUCUUCUUCUCAUCUAUACAUUCAACAAUACUAAUUUAUGUUAAAGAGAACACAGAUCGAUCGAUCGAUUGAUCGAUUGAUUUUUAGUCUAUUGAUCGAUAUCAAACACUCUCUCUCUCUGGAUUUGAUCGAUUGAUUGCUUUCGUUCAGAUCUGUAAGUUUUAGUCCCUAUACGCAUAUUGACAUCCUCAAAUGCUUAGUAGUGUACAUUUAGGAUCUCUCUGUGUAAGUUUUUGUUCAGAUCUACGUAAAUCUCUAUUGUUUGAUCCAAAUCUUGGUCCUAGGAUUUGAUUUUGUUCAUUGUUGUGCGUCAAGUACUGAGCCGAUUGAAUUAUGUUGAGAUCUUUAACAUUUGAAAUUUCAAUUUUUUCUCAGUAACCAAGCAGUGUUUUUGUUUACUUUUCUAUGUAAUUUUCUUUGUUACUUCAUAGCUGUCUAAUCGAUUGUUAGUAUGAGGUUGUA